UCGCGCCCGGGCAGCGGCCGCGUGCUCGGGGUCGGCCCGGUCGCGCGUCCCCGCCGGCGGUGGCAGGAGCGAGGGCGCGGGCGGAAGCGCGGGUUCCCCGUGGGCCUAGCUGCAGUGCCUGGGACGGCGGCGUGGCCUUCUUCGUUUCCGGUAGCGAGGUGUGUGUGUGCGUGUUUGUUUUCGCCUGGUUGGUUGUUUUUGUAACUAGGGUGGGCCUGGCUAUAAAAAAAAAAAAAAAAAAAAAGUCCCCUCCUUUAGGCUCUUGUCCCGCACCGGACAGCUCUCAGUGACCGCGGUCCUCUCCGGGACACCGGGGUCUGUGCACCUGCCCUCCCUCCAGCUGCCCGGCGCACGCGGGGGGACGGCCUGCCGGGUACCGGAUGGAUAGGGGCGCUCAACCGACUGCCCCGCCUUCCAGCACAGCUAAGAUGGUCAGGAGCCAAAGGAAAUCCUGUAACGUUAUUCGGGAAUUCUUCCUCCCGUGGAAACAAAACGGAUGCCCGUUCCAUUCGGCGCAGUCGGCACGGGCUGGGGCGUCUUCAGGAUGCGGUGGCUCCGGCCGCCCAGGGCAGUCGGGGCUCCAGCUGGAAGGGGCCAACGUGACUGAGUUCAUGUCACGGGGAAAUCGCAGUCCACUUCCGACCCUGCCCCGUUCAAAACCUGGCAAAGACGUUUUCGACUCAGCUUGGAGGUGACUGAAAACCUUUUUUGUGGGCGUUAUAUGCUUUUGAUCUUGUAGCCACCAAGAGGAUUUUUGAAACACGAAACUCCUCUGGACAUUUUUAACUUUAAAGCAUAAAAGUUGUCACGGUUGCGAAGCACCUGCAGAAUGCAGACAUAGGUAUUUUGGAACACAGUGGAUCCGGCCCUCUUUUCAACCGAUUGGUCGAAUACAAAUACCACAGCCAGCCAUUCGAUACCCACCAUCGUCCAUUAAACAUCAGCUCGGCUUCAAUAACUGAAGACUUUACACCUGGGGUUAGACGCUAUUUUACAAGCCAAGAUGGGUGAGCACGAAGCCUUCUCUUCAAGAAGAGAGCCCCACGGUGAACAGAAGGAAGCGAGGAAAUGCUUCAGGACAAUGACAAGAUAGACACACGAGGCCAUUAGUAUCUGGUUUACAACAGCUUUCUUCUGCUGUUCCUGUCUAAGCAGGGUAUGAGAAGCGUGUUCACCCCAUUCCUGGUUUGGAACUUCUAGGACUCUCAGCUGUGGUGUGUUCUCAUUAUCCUAUUCUAUUUAAAUCAAGUUUAAAAUAUCUGUUUCCCUUGAGGGCGAUCAUGAUGAAAAAAAUACUCCCUCUCUGGAAGGAAUUUCACGUGGUCGUAAGUGCUCUAACAACUUCAGCGCCAGUCCAAGGGUAUUUCACUCUAAGUUAGUAGAUUUUUAGUUAAGGAGAUACAUAGAAAUUCUGCCCCGGAGUCUAGAACUGAAAGUAAAAGUGAAAUCUAACAGAGGGGACAUGGUGUUCCUGAUUCCAAAGCAAAUACGAGUCACUGUGAAUGUUGGGGAUUUCCUGGUCUGUUGGCAACUUCGUAACUUGCAAAUAAAACACAGAUCAGCCUUGAACAAGUGCUAAUGAAGAAGUUUACCUGGAAGUGUCUGUUCGUGUAGACAAAGUGAUGACGCUGGGCCUCAUACAUGGUGGCUUACUUUUGAUUUCUUUGUCCUGACAGCACUUUACCCGUAUAAUUUACAUUACACAGUCAAAGUGCACACAUCUUACGUGCACAGCUCAUGAAUCUUAACAAAUGUGUAUACUUGGGGGACCACCAACCAGACCGAUACCAAGAACACUUUCCCACCACCCCAGGAAAUUCCUUCAUGCCUGUUUUCGGUCAAUACUUAUCUGUAUAGCCCGGCUCCCCGCCUCAGGCACUGUUCUGGUAUCUUCUACCUCAGCUUUGGUUUGUCUGUUCUCACACUUCACAGAAGUGGAAUUGCAUGGUGUGCACUCAUAAAGGCUUCUUUCACUAACUAUUUGUAGUUUCAUCCACACUGUACCACAUCUUAGCAGUUUGCUCAUUUUACUGACAAAUGGUGUCUAUCACCAUAAUUUGUGUAUUCAUUCUCCUGCUCAUGGACGUUUGGGUUAUUUCCUGGUUUGACCCCUUAUGCAGAGUGAAGUUACGAACAUCUUGGUCUGAGUCUUUGUGCGACUCUACGGAUUCGUUUCUGUUUUGUAAACGCCCGGACACGGAAUUGCGUGGGGUAGGUGCGUGUUUGUUUUCACAAGGAACGUUACACCCUGCCAGCAAAUGUGUAACAACUCUACGUGCUGAACAUCCCUCCUAGGCUUAGAAUUGUUAACUUUCUAAAUCUGACCUCUUCCUGGGAGUA